GCCCUCUCCCAGCACGGCGGAUCCGCAGCGAGCGCACCUCUUACCGCGAUGCUCCCUACAGGAGGGAUAGGGAUUAUCGGGGUCGCACGCGGGAUAUCUGCAAGAACUGCAAGCGUCCUGGUCACUAUGCCAGAGAAUGUCCAAAUGAAUCCUUGUGCAACAAAUGUGGACUUCCAGGGCAUUUUGCUGCGGAAUGCACAGCGAAGACUCUGUGCUGGAACUGCAAGGAGCCCGGGCAUGUUGCCAAUGAGUGCAGCAAUGCAGCCAUCUGCCACAGAUGCAACAAGACAGGCCACCUAGCACGCGACUGCACCGACUCAGGUGAGAGCAGAGUCUGCAAUAACUGCCACAAACCAGGUCAUAUAGCUGCAGAUUGUACCAAUGUCAAGGUCUGCAACAACUGCCGCAAGCCAGGCCAUA
rnacentral:misc_RNA from 1 species